UGGCACUGAUGUGUUCUCCACA
rnacentral:miRNA from 1 species